rnacentral:SRP_RNA from 1 species
CCGUGCUAGACGGGGAGGUAGCGGUGCCCUUUACCUGCAAUCCGCUAUAGCAGGGUGGAAUUCCUGUCCCCGGCUUUAUUCCGUGAGGUCUGACUGCUGUAAGUGAUGUUGAAGACCGGGUCUUGCGCAACGUGAACUUGUGAACCCCGUCAGGUCCGGAAGGAAGCAGCGGUAAGCAGGCCCUCGCGUGUGCCGCAGGGGUGCCUGGCCUGAGUUAACUGCAACAGUAACGCUUGGGGGAUAAUUGUCAAAGACAGGUGCACGG